rnacentral:rRNA from 1 species
GACGUCCUACGGGACGCAGCAGUAAGGGAUAUUGGUCAAUGGGGGAAACCCUGAACCAGCAACGCCGCGUGAGGGAAGACGGUUUUCGGAUUGUAAACCUCUGUCCUCUGUGAAGAUGAUGACGGUAGCAGAGGAGGAAGCUCCGGCUAACUACGUGCCAGCAGCCGCGGUAAUACGUAGGGAGCAAGCGUUGUCCGGAUUUACUGGGUGUAAAGGGCGUGUAGGCGGGACUGCAAGUCAGAUGUGAAAACCAUGGGCUCAACCUAUGGCCUGCAUUUGAAACUGUAGUUCUUGAGUACUGGAGG